rfam:Lasius niger Lnig_2.1_23990, whole genome shotgun sequence.
GGGGAUAUGAUUUAGUUUGGUUGAAUGUUAACGUUGCAUGUUAAACGGCUAGGUUCGAAUCCUAGUAUCUCCA